AAAUCCACAUACAGUCUUAACAUGAAAACAACCUCUGGAACAAAAGUUAAUACAUCAAUUCCCAAUGUCACAGAAGUAAAGGAGAACAUGACAUUUGGAUCAACUUUAGUCACCAACCCAAAUGGAGGAUUUCUGGCUUGUGGGCCCUUAUAUGCCUAUAGAUGUGGACAUUUGCAUUACACAACUGGAAUCUGUUCUGACGUCAGCCCCACAUUUCAAGUCGUGAAUUCCAUUGCCCCUGUACAAGAAUGCAGCACUCAACUGGACAUAGUCAUAGUGCUGGAUGGUUCCAACAGUAUUUACCCAUGGGACAGUGUUACAGCUUUUUUAAAUGACCUUCUUGAAAGAAUGGAUAUUGGUCCUAAACAGACACAGGUUGGAAUUGUACAGUAUGGAGAAAACGUGACCCAUGAGUUCAACCUCAAUAAGUAUUCUUCCACCGAAGAGGUACUUGUUGCAGCAAAGAAAAUAGUCCAGAGAGGUGGCCGCCAGACUAUGACAGCUCUUGGAAUAGACACAGCAAGAAAGGAGGCAUUCACGGAAGCCCGGGGUGCCCGAAGAGGAGUUAAAAAAGUCAUGGUUAUUGUGACAGAUGGAGAGU
rnacentral:sRNA from 1 species